rnacentral:tRNA from 2 species
GAAGCAGUAGCUCAGCGGAUAGAGCAGGUAGUUUUGAAAUUAUCAAUCAAAGGUCAAUCAAAAUUUACUUCUUACGCUUUUAACGUCCAGGUCGUGGGUUCGAAUCCCACCUGCUUCA